rnacentral:rRNA from 1 species
AUGAAGAUUACCGUGAUCGUCUUGUGUGUCGUGGUAGCGUUGUUUGGGGUCGCAAGUGCCGUCCUGGGGUCCAUCGCCGAGGGCACCAAGCUCACGCGGAAUGACAUUGAGGUGUACAGCAACGAGUGCGUGUACCCUGACAACCCGGCAUACGCACUGGCGCUGCUGGCGGCCCUCCUGCUGCUGUUGGCCCAGAUCACCGCCUCGACCGUCGGCGGUUGCUGCGGCCGCUGCAAGCCCCGGGGCGCCGGCUUCUCCGGGUCCAAGCCCGUUGCCAAGUCCAAGCGGGCCACUGGCGCCGCCCUCUGCGUCCUCUCAUGGAUAAUGGCGUUGAUCGCGGAGCGGUUCUUCUUGGUAGGUGCGGCGAUGAACAUCCCCAUGACGCGCGAAACUAGCCAGGGCCGGGGGUGUCACGCCGUCAAUGACGGCGUCUUCAUGAUGGGGGCUAUUCUGAGCAUCGUCGCCACCGUGUUCGGGAUCAUAUCUUAUAUCAUGCUUUACGCGGCGGCGGCUGGUGCUAAUACUACCAUGGGGGCCGUGGCGGGGCCGUCGUCGGCAGGCGAGAUCAGGCUUGACGGGAUCGCGAUCGGCCACCCUGUUGCCGCUCAACAACACGCGCAAGCUGUGUAG